CUCCUCCUGAAAUUAGCGCCACAUGUGUGCACCACUAAUCCAAGUGAUGUGAUUGAGGAACUAAGGAG